rnacentral:lncRNA from 1 species
GGUUUAGGGUUUAGGUUUUAGUGAUUAUGAUUUAGGGUUUAGUAUUUAGAAGGGCGGGGUUGGGAUUUAAGUUUAGUGAACAUGUAUCGUUUCAUUUGACGAUUAAUAAAGAGUGUUAGUGUUCUAUUUUGUUCACCAAUAUGUACUAUACUAUUUAUUUUACUCCAUUUUGUUUAGGUUUAAGGGCUAUACUUGGGUUUAGGGUUUAGUGAUUAGAGUUUAAAGUUUAGUAUUUGGAAGGUGUGUGGUUAAGGUUUGGGUUUAGUGAUAGCAGUUUAGGGUUUAAUAUUCAAAAUAUGUCUUCAAGUGUCCAAUAUUGGAAAAAAAUUUAUAGAUUGUAUAUGGGUUUAUAGGUUCCUAUCCAGGAUUUAGAUUUACAAAGUAGAGGUUUGGGUAUAGUAAACCAUAUUAUAUAUAUAUAUACUAUUUGGGUUUAUGGUUCCUUAAUUAGGGUUUAGUUUUAAUAAUUAAU